rnacentral:rRNA from 1 species
AAUACGUAGGGUGCAGGCGUUAAUCGGAAUUACUGGGCGUAAAGCGUGCGCAGGCGGUUUCUUAAGUCAGAUGUGAAAGCCCCGGGCUUAACCUGGGAACUGCGUUUGAAACUGGGAGACCAGAGUGUGGCAGAGGGGGGUGGAAUUCCACGUGUAGCAGUGAAAUGCGUAGAUAUGUGGAGGAACACCGAUGGCGAAGGCAGCCCCCUGGGUUAACACUGACGCUCAUGCACGAAAGCGUGGGGAGCAAACAGGA